GGGGAUGUACCGGUUUCGACGGGGUUUCUGAGGCGCCGGCCGCAGGCAGAGGGUUCCGUUGGCCUCUUUAAAAAACGGAAACUUAAAAUUAAACGCUAACAACGAUUUAGCACUUCAGGCUGCCUGACGGCAGUCCCGUCGCCCUUCCGGCUGCCGGACCGGGAACAUGCGGCGUCACUUUUCCGGCCCUGUCCGUAUGCAGGUCAAAUCGGAGAACGGCUUGCGCAAAGCUUUGAGCGCAAGCGGCAUUUAUGAAGCUACGAAGCCUCCUACCCUGACUGCCGGGGCGGCGGCAACGGAAUUUCAAAUGACAGUCUAAGCCUGUAGAAGCUGACGAGGAUCAAAUUUCGGACAGGGGUCCGACUCCCCUCAUCUCCAU
rnacentral:tmRNA from 1 species